rnacentral:rRNA from 1 species
AACGAACGCUGGCGGCAUGCCUAACACAUGCAAGUCGAACGAGACCUUCGGGUCUAGUGGCGCACGGGUGCGUAACGCGUGGGAACCUGCCCUUAGGUUCGGAAUAACUCCCCGAAAGGGGGUGCUAAUACCGGAUAAUGUCUUCGGACCAAAGAUUUAUCGCCUUUGGAUGGGCCCGCGUUGGAUUAGCUAGUUGGUAGGGUAAAAGCCUACCAAGGCGACGAUCCAUAGCUGGUCUGAGAGGAUGAUCAGCCACACUGGGACUGAGACACGGCCCAGACUCCUACGGGAGGCAGCAGUGGGGAAUAUUGGACAAUGGGCGAAAGCCUGAUCCAGCAAUGCCGCGUGAGUGAUGAAGGCCUUAGGGUUGUAAAGCUCUUUUACCCGGGAUGAUAAUGACAGUACCGGGAGAAUAAGCGCCGGCUAACUCCGUG